CCAGGAUGGAGUGCAGUGGCGUGAUCUCGGCUCAACCUCCGCGUCCCAGGCUCAGCGACAGGGUCUCGCCACGCUGCCCAGACUGGUCUCAAUUCCUGGGCUUAAGUGAUCUGUCUGCCUUGGCCUCCCACCAUGCUGAGAUGACAGGAGUGAGCCACUGCACCCUGCCCAGGCUGUUUUCAGUUCACCGUGUUCUGCUGCCUUCCAGGUGGGGCGGGCUGGGAGGCCUCUUCUAGAGGGGCCCUCAGGCUGCUCCAAGCCCUGGAAUGCAGGCCUGGUGGCCUCAGAAUGCCCCAGCAGGCUGGCCCCGUGCCUCUGCCCCGGGGUGUGGGGUCUGGGUGGCCUGGGGUCCUCCCCUUGGGAGCUCCAUGGGUGGCCGCUGCUCCGCCUACCUGGGAGGACAUCCCGUGGCAGGGGUAGAGGAUCGCCCGGUCGCCGUCCUCUGCUCCCUGGUCCAGGCAGUAGCCACUGGCUUUGCUGUUUCUCACCUGCAACCAGAAGCCCCAGGAGAAAGUCCAGAGUCACCCGAGGGUGCGGCCCCAGGGAACUUUGCGCAGCCAGCUCUGCAGCCAGCACCUAAAGAGAUGGAGACUUGGCCAUCACUCAAUAGGGGACGCUUGAGGACGGCAGUGUCAGCCCUGCUCAGCAGCAGGGACGGAGGCCCUAGGCUGUGGAGUGGCUUCCCUGCCUUGCCACCUGCUCCCUGCAUCCUUGCAGCUCCCACUGAGUGGGUAGAGACCGCUCACCAGCCUUGCAGUCUAGGCUGGCCUUGGCUUGGACCCUUGGGAGACCUUCCAGCUUCCACUCUGUCUUGGAAGGAAUCCUGACAGCCCUCUGAGAAUAAGCCCGGGCCAGCCUGCUGGGGGAUGGGUUGUCAUCGGGCAGCCAACCUCCAGCCGCCAGAACAGGCCCAUCGGAGAUCAGCACAGCCUGGAUCAGGCCAGCAGCACUGCCUGGGUGGCCCUGGCUCGUGAGCAAGUGUAGACACUUAUUGCUUUUGUCCACCGCGUUUCCAGGCUGCUGGGUUUGCAGCAGCAGCUGACCCAUCCAGCACGGCCACCACGAGAGGUCACACAG